UGGUUCACAUAUCAAUUAUCUCAUGUGGCCUACCCUCCGUUACCAACUGAUUUAACCUCAAAAAUAGGUCAACAAAAAGAUUAGAUUGGUAGCUAAGAUGUUAUGGAUUAGGUUGCAAUACAUCAAAUAACAUACCCAGCCGACAAUAUUAAGGCCUUUCUCUAUGAACGAAGCAUCGGUGGAGGGAGGAGGCCGGUGGUUGGAGGAGCCGGUGGAGAUGGAGGGCGGCGGAGGAGAACGGAGGCUGUAAGGGCGCUGCGAUGGAGGACUAUUGCGACGUCGAUGGAGGGCGGCGGAGUUGUCGAUGAGAGGAGGAGAUGAUGGCGGCUGUUAGGAGAAAGAUGCUGUUGGUUGUGGAGGAGAAGGAUGAUGUCUGUGUAUUGAGGAGAAGAGGCGAUAUGUGAAAAAUAGCUGAACCAUUCAGAGCUGAAUGGUUCCAUUAAGAGGUGAAGUUUUUGUGAACCAAACAGUCUAGCCUCUGACCGAUUCAGAGGCUUGCCUUUUAAUAGAGCCAUUCAGAUGUAAACAAACAGCCCUAAGUCUUGUAAUUUGCACCCAUGGAAUAUACAGAAAAUUGU
rnacentral:lncRNA from 1 species